rnacentral:rRNA from 1 species
CAGCCGUAAACAAUGUGCGUUAGGUGUGUCGGUAACCACGCGUUACUGAUGCGCCGAAGAGAAAUCGUGAAACGCACCACCUGGGAAGUACGGUCGCAAGGCUGAAACUUAAAGGAAUUGGCGGGGGAGCACCGCAACAGGUGGAGCCUGCGGUUUAAUUGGAUUCAACGCCGGACAUCUCACCGGAUAAGACAGCUGAAUGAUUGUCAAUCUGAAGGUUUUACAUGACUAGCUGAGAGGAGGUGCAUGGCGUCAGUGACU